GAUGAACGCUGGCGGCGUGCCUAAUACAUGCAAGUCGAGCGAACGGACGAGAAGCUUGCUUCUCUGAUGUUAGCGGCGGACGGGUGAGUAACACGUGGAUAACCUACCUAUAAGACUGGGAUAACUUCGGGAAACCGGAGCUAAUACCGGAUAAUAUUUUGAACCGCAUGGUUCAAAAGUGAAAGACGGUCUUGCUGUCACUUAUAGAUGGAUCCGCGCUGCAUUACCUAGUUGGUAAGGUAACGGCUUACCAAGGCAACGAUGCAUAGCCGACCUGAGAGGGUGAUCGGCCACACUGGAACUGAGACACGGUCCAGACUCCUACGGGAGGCAGCAGUAGGGAAUCUUCCGCAAUGGGCGAAAGCCUGACGGAGCAACGCCGCGUGAGUGAUGAAGGUCUUCGGAUCGUAAAACUCUGUUAUUAGGGAAGAACAUAUGUGUAAGUAACUGUGCACAUCUUGACGGUACCUAAUCAGAAAGCCACGGCUAACUACGUG
rnacentral:rRNA from 1 species